CCCCAUCCCAGGGCUCUGGGGAUGACUCGGCCCUGAAGAGGAGGGGCCGAGGCUGCUGGUCCCCACGUGUCAUGGUCACAGCUGGGGAGCUUCGGCUUGAGGACUCCCGUCCAACCCCUUCUUGACUAUGGGGCCCUAGGGCUUUUGGGAAGCUCUAGGUGGCCUGGAAGGGUGGCCCAGACUCUGGGGCCCCCAGAACCCCCAUGCGCUUCCUGGGUCUGUGGACACACGGAAGCCACUCUGCCCCUCAGUGCUGGCAAAGGAUCCCCUGCUCCAUUCAACUCUCAGGUGCUGGCCCUGGGCCAGUCCCUGGGGCUCGUGCUCCAGGAGGAAUCAGAGCUGGAGAAGGAGGGGCUAGGCCAGCCUCCAGCCCCGGGGCCAGGGAGCUUCUGCCCCCCACGCAGCCCCAAGUCCUUUGAGCUCUCAGCUUUAGCUGUGGGUCUGGGGUGGGGGGCCGCCUCGUCACUCGCCAAGGUUCAGAAUAGCAGAGCUCCCCAGUGACCACUCCCUUCUUACCCUGCCAGCUUGUCCACCAUUGAUGACACCAACCAGCAUUUGGCCAAGCGGGAGCAUCCCCUCCAGAAAUCCCCUCUGGGCCAGGACAGAAGUUCCUGGAAGGCCCUUUCCAUUAGCACAGACAUGCCGGGCAUCGUUCCAGGAGGCUCUGAGACCUGAGCUUUGCAAAGGGGAUGAGCAAUAAAAAUGACACCAGCGCCCUUCACAGAGGGCUCGCCCUGUGGGGCCUGUAGCCAGGUGCUCGCUGUCCAUCCCCACGUCCACUUCUCCCAGCUUCCCUGUGAGGGAGGUGCAGCAGGAGGAAAUGAGGGCGACGUGGCCUGCGUGUGGUCACACGGCUCGGGAGCUGCAGAGCUGGAAUGCAAGGCUGGGCUGUCACCAGAGUUCCUGUUAGUGGUGUGUCUGGGAAAGGAAGGGCUGGUAGGGAUAAGGGUCAGUGGCUGUGGGUCCACAGGGAGGACGAGGCAGGGGGUGUUGGGGCCCCUGCAAGCUGGCAUGGCCAGUCUCUCCUGUGGCCCCUGUGAGAAGCCAAGGGAACGCAGCUGCUCAGCCUGGCACCUCCCCACCCCACGUCACUCUUCCGGGCAGAGCCGGGCCAGAGCAGGAGGUCCCCGAGGGCAGGCACCGUGUUGGUUUUAUCCACUGCUGUGUCCCCAGAGCCUGGCACCGAGUCUGGCACACAGUAGGUGCUCCACCGACACAAGCCAGAUGAGCGAACAGCACACAGGAGGGGUGCCAAUGCCCUAAGUUGCCCGGUCAGGCACAGCCCAGGCUCGGACUCUCGGCAUCAGGGAAAAACAAAGGUGUUUAUUUGCAACAGACGCUGAUAUAGCACAAGGCCCGGUAAGGAUGGGCAUGGGUGGAGCCGCCUGGCCGCCCCCAAGUCCCUGAGUCUGGAGUCGGGGUCCCACCAGCGGCCUUCCCUGGAGAGCACGGUGCUCACCCACAAGUGGGCAAGAGGGAGACAAGUGUUGGAAAGCGGGAGGCCCGGGUCCAGCCAAGUCCAUCUCUGGGCCUCAGUUUCCCCAUCUGCACAAUGGAUGCCCACCUCCUGCCCUUCAGCCUCCUCUGACUGGAAGGGCAGGAAAGGCCUUUGGAGAGCGGAGCACCAUCGUUUCUCCUCCAGGAGGACCGAGGCCCUGCAGCAGGGCGCUGGGAGAAGAGCCCCGAGCUCCCAG
rnacentral:lncRNA from 1 species